GACGAACGCUGGCGGCGUGCUUAACACAUGCAAGUCGAACGGAAAGGCCCUGCUUUUGUGGGGUGCUCGAGUGGCGAACGGGUGAGUAACACGUGAGUAACCUGCCCUUGACUUUGGGAUAACUUCAGGAAACUGGGGCUAAUACCGGAUAGGAGCUCCUGCUGCAUGGUGGGGGUUGGAAAGUUUCGGCGGUUGGGGAUGGACUCGCGGCUUAUCAGCUUGUUGGUGGGGUAGUGGCUUACCAAGGCUUUGACGGGUAGCCGGCCUGAGAGGGUGACCGGCCACAUUGGGACUGAGAUACGACCCAGACUCCUACGGGAGGCAGCAGUGGGGAAUAUUGCACAAUGGGCGGAAGCCUGAUGCAGCAACGCCGCGUGCGGGAUGACGGCCUUCGGGUUGUAAACCGCUUUCGCCUGUGACGAAGCGUGAGUGACGGUAGUGGGUAAAGAAGCACCGGCUAACUACGUG
rnacentral:rRNA from 1 species